UACGUAGGGGGCAAGCGUUGUCCGGAAUCAUUGGGCGUAAAGCGCGUGUAGGCGGUCCGGUAAGUCGGCUGUGAAAGUCCAGGGCUCAACCCUGGGAUGCCGGUCGAUACUGCCGGACUAGAGUUCGGAAGAGGCGAGUGGAAUUCCCGGUGUAGCGGCGAAAUGCGCAGAUAUCGGGAGGAACACCUAUGGCGAAGGCAGCUCGCUGGGACGUUACUGACGCUGAGACGCGAAAGCGUGGGGAGCAAACAGG
rnacentral:rRNA from 1 species